rnacentral:rRNA from 1 species
CAGCCGCCGCGGGAAAACGGAGGGUGCAAGCGUUAAUCGGAAUUACUGGGCGUAAAGCGCACGCAGGCGGUUUGUUAAGUCAGAUGUGAAAUCCCCGAGCUUAACUUGGGAACUGCAUUUGAAACUGGCAAGCUAGAGUCUUGUAGAGGGGGGUAGAAUUCCAGGUGUAGCGGUGAAAUGCGUAGAGAUCUGGAGGAAUACCGGUGGCGAAGGCGGCCCCCUGGACAAAGACUGACGCUCAGGUGCGAAAGCGUGGGGAGCAAACAGGAUUAGAUACCCCAGUAGUCCCGUCUCUUAUACA